AACGAACGCUGGCGGCAUGCCUAACACAUGCAAGUCGAACGAGACCUUCGGGUCUAGUGGCGCACGGGUGCGUAACGCGUGGGAACCUGCCCUUAGGUUCGGAAUAACUCCCCGAAAGGGGUGCUAAUACCGGAUAAUGUCUUCGGACCAAAGAUUUAUCGCCUUUGGAUGGGCCCGCGUUGGAUUAGCUAGUUGGUAGGGUAAAAGCCUACCAAGGCGACGAUCCAUAGCUGGUCUGAGAGGAUGAUCAGCCACACUGGGACUGAGACACGGCCCAGGCUCCUACGGGAGGCAGAGUUGGGGAAUAUGGGACAAGGGGCGAAAGCCGGAUCAGCAAUGCCGCGUGAGUGAUGAAGGCCUUAGGGUUGUAAAGCUCUUUUACCCGGGAUGAUAAUGACAGUACCGGGAGAAUAAGCUCCGGCUAACUCCGU
rnacentral:rRNA from 1 species